rnacentral:rRNA from 1 species
GACGAACGCUGGCGGCGUGCCUAAUACAUGCAAGUCGAACGCAGUGGGGACGGGUGAGUAACACGUGGGUAACCUCCCAUCCAAGAGGAUAACACUUGGACACAGGUGCUAAACCGAUACUGUCUGAUCACACCGCAGGGCAUGAGCUUGGUGGUGAGGUAACGGCUCACCAAGGCGACGAUGCAUAGCCGGCCUGUGAGGGUGAUCGGCCACACUGGAACUGAGACACGGCCCAGACUCCUACGGGAGGCAGCAGUAGGGAAUCUUCGACAAUGGACGAAAGUCGGACCGAGCAACGCCGCGGGAGUGAAGAAGGUUUUCGGAUCGUAAAACUCUGUUGUUAUAGAAGCGGUAUCUAACCAAAAAGCAACGGCUAACUACGUGCCAGCAGCCGCGGUAAUAC